GAUGAACGCUAGCGGCAGGCCUAACACAUGCAAGUCGAGGGGUAACAUAGAAAAGCUUGCUUUUCUGAUGACGACCGGCGCACGGGUGCGUAACGCGUAUACAACCUACCUUUUAGCGGGGAAUAGCCCAGGGAAACUUGGAUUAAUGCCCCAUAGUAUAUGGACUUCUCCUGAAGUUUAUAUUAAACAUUUAUGGCUAUUAGAUGGGUAUGCGUCCUAUUAGUUAGUUGGUAAGGUAACGGCUUACCAAGGCAGCGAUAGGUAGGGGUCCUGAGAGGGAGAUCCCCACACUGGUACUGAGACACGGACCAGACUCCUACGGGAGGCAGCAGUGAGGAAUAUUGGACAAUGGGCGAGAGCCUGAUCCAGCCAUGCCGCGUGCAGGAAGACUGCCCUAUGGGUUGUAAACUGCUUUUACAGAGGAAGAACCACCCCCACGUGUCCCCCCCCCGGGGGUUUGACGGUACUCUGCGAAUAAGGAUCGGCUAACUCCGUG
rnacentral:rRNA from 1 species